rnacentral:rRNA from 1 species
AUACGUAGGUGGCGAGCGUUGUCCGGAAUUACUGGGCGUAAAGAGCGCGUAGGCGGCUAUUUAAGUCAGAUGUGAAAACUUGGGGCUCAACCGCAAGAUUGCAUUUGAAACUGGAUAGCUUGAGGGCAAGAGAGGAAAGCGGAAUUCCCAGUGUAGCAGUGAAAUGCGUAGAUAUUGGGAGGAACACCAGUGGCGAAGGCGGCUUUCUGGCUUGUACCUGACGCUGAGGCGCGAAAGCGUGGGGAGCGAACGGGAUUAGAUACCCCGGUAGUCCACGCCGUAAACGAUGGGCACUAGGUGUAGGAGGUAUCGACCCCUUCUGUGCCGCAGCUAACGCAUUAAGUGCCCCGCCUGGGGAGUACGGCCGCAAGGUUGAA